AGCAAGAAGCGGACGGUCUCGAUCUCUCCAAAGGCGGAGGCCCAGAUGAGGGGGGUGAAGCCUCGCUCGUCCGGCUUGUUGAUGAGGGUGGAGAUGGAAGACACAUCCAAGGACACAAAGACAGAAGUCCCAUCUUGGGCCUGACAUUCCACCAUUCUUGCAUCGCAGAAGCAGGAGUCCAGGGUUUUCCCGGACGGAGCCAGUUGGCUCCACCUUCGGACAGACGGCGACCCCGUCCAUAACAGUGUCUCCUGUGCGGUCCUGGGGGCUCAGGAGUAUGUGCAGGAAUUUGGUGGCAGCAGAGGGGUACAAGAAGGGAGU